AUUGAACGCUGGCGGCAGGCCUAACACAUGCAAGUCGAACGGUAACAGGAAGAAGCUUGCUUCUUUGCUGACGAGUGGCGGACGGGUGAGUAAUGUCUGGGAAACUGCCUGAUGGAGGGGGAUAACUACUGGAAACGGUAGCUAAUACCGCAUAACGUCGCAAGACCAAAGAGGGGGACCUUCGGGCCUCUUGCCAUCGGAUGUGCCCAGAUGGGAUUAGCUAGUAGUUGGGGUAACGGCUCACCUAGGCGACGAUCCCUAGCUGGUCUGAGAGGAUGACCAGCCACACUGGAACUGAGACACGGUCCAGACUCCUACGGGAGGCAGCAGUGGGGAAUAUUGCACAAUGGGCGCAAGCCUGAUGCAGCCAUGCCGCGUGUAUGAAGAAGGCCUUCGGGUUGUAAAGUACUUUCAGCGGGGAGGAAGGGAGUAAAGUUAAUACCUUUACUCAUUGACGUUACCCGCAGAAGAAGCACCGGCUAACUCCGUG
rnacentral:rRNA from 1 species